rnacentral:rRNA from 1 species
AGUGAACGCUGGCGGUAGGCCUAACACAUGCAAGUCGAACGGCCGCACAGUAAGAGCUUGCUCUUACGGGUGGCGAGUGGCGGACGGGUGAGGAAUACAUCGGAAUCUACUUUUUCGUGGGGGAUAACGUAGGGAAACUUACGCUAAUACCGCAUACGACCUACGGGUGAAAGCAGGGGAUCUUCGGACCUUGCGCGAUUGAAUGAGCCGAUGUCGGAUUAGCUAGUUGGCGGGGUAAAGGCCCACCAAGGCGACGAUCCGUAGCUGGUCUGAGAGGAUGAUCAGCCACACGGGAACUGAGACACGGUCCAGACUCCUACGGGGGGCAGCAGUGGGGAAUAUUAGGCGAUGGGCGCGAGCCUGAUCCAGCCAUACCGCGUGAGUGAAGAAGGCCUUCGGGUUGUAAAGCCCUUUUGUUGGGAGAGAAAAGCAGCAGGUUAAUACCCCGCUGUUCUGACGGUACCCGAAGAAUAAGCACCGGCUAACUUCGUG